rnacentral:rRNA from 1 species
UUAUCUCUGUAGAGUCUGCAUAUCAAUAAGCGGAGGAAAAGAAACUAACUAGGAUUCCCUUAGUAACGGCGAGUGAAGCGGGAAGAGCUCAAAUUUGAAAUCUUCAAGGUUUUACCUUGACGAAUUGUAGUUUAAAGAAGUGUUUUCUGUUGGUGUUUUGGUAAAAGUUCUUUGGAAUAGGACAUCAUAGAGGGUGAGAAUCCCGUAUUUGACCAUUACUUCCAGCGUUGUGAUACACUUUCAAAGAGUCGGAUUGUUUGGGAAUGCAGUCCAAAAUGGGUGGUAAAUUUCAUCUAAAGCUAAAUAUUGGCGAGAGACCGAUAGCGAACAAGUACCGUGAGGGAAAGAUGAAAAGAACUUUGAAAAGAGAGUUAAACAGUACGUGAAAUUGUCAAAAGGGAAGCGUUUGACACCAGUGUUGUUUUCUCGAAAAUCAAUUAAAAAAGGCAGGAUUUUGUGUUGUAUUGACUUUAUCAGCGUUCUGCACUCUUUUCUUGUCUUUUUUAAUGCACUUUUCGUUUAACAAGUCAACAUCAAUUUCUUUUGUUGUAAAAGGGUCAUUGGAAGGUGGCUUUCUUUUCGGAGAAAGUGUUUAUAGCCUUUGGCCUCUGCAAUCGGAGAGAUUGAGGUCUGCAGCGUAGAUCCUUCGGGGUUAGAUACAUUUGUGCUAAGUUAUAGCCUUUCAUAGACAACUUGUUGACUAUGUUUAGUCAUGCGGCUUACUCGCUUGUGCUAUUUUACCUACGCUUAGGAUGUUGAUCUGUAGUGCGUGCGC